GGUGGUAUGGUCUAGUGGUAUGACGUCACGUUGUGGCUAUCUUCUCUGCAUCCGUGCCAGCCUCAGUUCGAUUCUGGGUACCGCCA